rnacentral:rRNA from 1 species
AUAUCAGUCAUGCAUAGCAUAUCAAUAAGCGGAGGAAAAGAAACUAACAAGGAUUCCCUUAGUAACGGCGAGUGAAGCGGGAAGAGCUCAAAUUUGAAAUCUUCAAGGUUCUACCUUGACGAAUUGUAGUUUAUAGAAGUGUUUUCUGUUAGUAGAGUGGCAAAAGUUCUUUGGAAUAGGACAUCAUAGAGGGUGAGAAUCCCGUAUUUGGUCAUUCUCUCUAGCUUUGUGAUACACUUUCAACGAGUCGGAUUGUUUGGGAAUGCAGUCCAAAAUGGGUGGUAAAUUUCAUCUAAAGCUAAAUAUUGGCGAGAGACCGAUAGCGAACAAGUACCGUGAGGGAAAGAUGAAAAGAACUUUGAAAAGAGAGUUAAACAGUACGUGAAAUUGUCAAAAGGGAAGCGUUUGACACCAGUGUUGUUUUUCCGAAAAUCAAUUACGAAUGUUUUGUUUUUGAGAAGUUAUGACUUCAUCGGCUUGCUUCUUUCUUUACGAAACUUUCUUAAUGCACUUUUCGGUUAACAAGUCAACAUCAAUUUCUUUUGUUGUAAAAGGGUAUGAGGAAGGUGGCUUUCUUUUCGGAGAAAGUGUUUAUAGCCUUGUACCUCUGCAAUCGGAGAGAUUGAGGUCUGCAGCGUAGAUCCUUCGGGGUUAGAUACAUUUGUGCUAAGUUAUAGCUUUUCAUAGACAACUUGUUGACUAUGUUAAGUCUUGUAGCUUACUCGCUUAUGCUAUUUUACCUACGCUUAGGAUGUUGAUCUCUCACAGUCGAGC